CCCUAAGAGAGGGCAAGAAGAAGAACUCUAAUUUAGCAGUUGUUGAUAGCAGAACGAAACGAAGUCCAAGAAGGAUAAAUUAGGGCAAAGAGGUGGACGAGAGAUCUCAAAGGAGGAGAACUUCCAUUGAAGAACAACAACAAAUCUUGAUAACUCUUGAAUCAUUUAAUCUCUUUUCUUAUUCUACCAAUUUUACAUGAUUAAGAUGUGGAUUCCUUUAUUUAAUUCUGUUUGUAUGAAGAGCUAAAUCUUAUAGGGGAGGCGGAAGAGUUUUAUGUAGUUUAAGUAUGUUGACGAACUGCAGAACUGCUCAUCCACGUGCAUGCGAGUUGACUAGUUGUGAAUGGUUUUAGAUCUUUUGAUUUCGUGAUAUCUUACUACGAGCGUAUACAUGUCAAAUCCCAACAAAAAAAAAAAAAAAAAAUACUUACUGAGUAUUUUUCAAUAUGUCAUCGUGUAUUCAUUUGAACCUCUACAUUAUUUAAGUUGUUAUUCUCGAAUUUCAACCCAAACCUAUAUAUUUUUUU